rnacentral:rRNA from 13 species
CACCCUGGUGCGUUUGAGGUUCUAACCUAGGUCCAUUAUCUGGAUCGGGGACAGUGCAUGGUAGGCAGUUUGACUGGGGCGGUCUCCUCCCAAAGCGUAACGGAGGAGUUCGAAGGUACGCUAGGUACGGUCGGACAUCGUGACGAUAGUGCAAUGGCAUAAGCGUGCUUAACUGCGAGACUGACAAGUCGAGCAGAUGCGAAAGCAGGACAUAGUGAUCCGGUGGUUCUGUAUGGAAGGGCCAUCGC